ACUCCAGAGAAGCUAGUCUGACUGGAAAUUCUCUGUUCAGUAGAGAUCAGGGAAUACCCUCAAAGGAACCCAGGAGGUGGCAGAGAGAGAAAAAGAAUGAAAAGAGCCCAAGAAAGGCUGAAAUCAGGAGAGCUGUGGGACUCCUGUGUCAAGGAGUAGAAUCUUGUUUGGAUUAUCACAAAGUCAGGAUUGAGUUGUGGGACUACAGGGUCUUCAGCUGGUAAAAGACUCCAUAAAUGAAAUCUCAUACAACAUGGCUAUGGAGCAGCAAAAAUGGGAGCAGCCCAGGGAGAAAAGGAAAUAGCCAAAGAGAGGAAAGAUUAUAAGAGGUGACAGAGCAGAGGGACCCUUCGACAAGCAUAAAGUUCCAGAGCACUGCACGAAUACAAAAAUGUGGAUUUGCAUCCAAUCCACAUCUGCCAGAAUCAACCUGCGAUCCAACCUAUAGUCCGUGAGCCGUCUUUUACCUGCAUCCACAGCCUCAAGCCAUCUCACAAG